UAGUCCACGCCGUAAACGAUGGUUACUAGCUGUUCGGACUUCGGUCUGAGUGGCUAAGCGAAAGUGAUAAGUAACCCACCUGGGGAGUACGUUCGCAAGAAUGAAACUCAAAGGAAUUGACGGGGGCCCGCACAAGCGGUGGAGCAUGUGGUUUAAUUCGAUGAUACGCGAGGAACCUACCAGGGCUCGAACGCUAUACGACCUUCCCCGAAAGGGGAAUUUUCUUCGGAACGGAUAGUGAGGUGCUGCAUGGUUGUCGUCAGCUCGUGUCGUGAGAUGUUGGGUUAAGUCCCGCAACGAGCGCAACCCUUGUCCCUAGUUGCCAGCACGUAAUGGUGGGAACUCUAGGGAGACUGCCGGUGAUAAACCGGAGGAAGGUGGGGAUGACGUCAGGUCCUCAUGGCCCUUACGGGCUGGGCUACACGCGUGCUACAAUGGCGGCUACAAUGGGAUGCAAUAGGGUGACCUGGAGCUAAUCCUCAAAGGCCGUCUCAGUUCGGAUUGUUCUCUGCAG
rnacentral:rRNA from 1 species